UUUGGUCAAGCUACAAAGGGUCUAUGCACGGAUGACUUGGUUAGAUGAGGCGAUGAAGGACGGGGUAAGCACCGAUAUGUCUCGGGUAGUCGCAAACAGGCUUUGAUCCGAGAGAUUCCGAAUGGGGCAACCUAACACUAGUUAUAUAGUGUUAUCCCGCAGAUGAAUUCAUAGUCCGCGGGAGGCGAUACCAGGGGAAUUGAAACAUCUAAGUACCCUGAGGAAAAGAAAUCUUCAUGAGAUUCCCCCAGUAGCGGCGAGCGAAAAGGGAAGAGCCUAAAUCCGCCAAAGCAAUUUGGCGGAGGUUGUGGGACCUCGAUGUGGGAUUGUGGAUGGGUAGUAGAAGCAUAUGGAAAGAUGCGCCAAAGAGAGUGAAAGCCUCGUAAACAAAACCUUGAAGCACCCUAGGGGUAUCCCAAGUACUACGGGACACGGGAAAUCCUGUAGGAAUCUGGGCCGACCACGGUCUAAGGCUAAACACUACAUCUAGACCGAUAGUGCAGAAGUACCGUGAGGGAAAGUUGAAAAGAACCCCGGUGAGGGGAGUGAAAUAGAACCUGAAAUCAUAGACCUACAAGCGGUAGAAGGGCUAUGUCCGCCAUAUUAUGUGGCGGAAAUGCCUGACUGCGUACCUUUUGCAUAAUGGUCCGACGAGUUACUAUGCGGUGCGAGCUUAAGGCGUAGCAAUACGUUGUAAGCGUAGCGAAAGCGAGUCCUAAUCGGGCGCUUUCCGCCACAAUACGUGGCGGAAGUACCGUAUAGUAGACCCGAAGCUGAGUGAUCUACCCAUAGCCAGAGUGAAGUCCCGCGAAAGCGGGAUGGAGGCUCGAACCCGUCAGUGUUGAAAAACUGUGGGAUGAGCUGUGGGUCGGAGCGAAAGACUAAACAAACUCAGAAAUUGCUGGUUCUCCCCGAAAUAUUUCUAGGGAUAGCCUCGGGUUAUUAAAUAGUGGGGGUAGAGUGCUGAAUGGGCUACGGGACCUUACCAGGUUGCUGAGCCCAACCAAACUCCGAAUACCACUUCCGUCACAAUACGUGGCGGACCCGCCAAUCUUUUUGGCGGGAUUUUUAUCCCGGGAGUAAGACGCUGGGGGCUAAGCUCCAGCGUCUAAAGGGUAUCAGCCCAGACCGCCAGCUAAGGUCCCUAAACAUAGACUAAGUGGUAAAGGAUGUGAUUUCGCUUUGACAACCAGGAUGUUGGCUCAGAGGCAGCCAUCAUUUAAAGAGUGCGUAACAGCUCACUGGUCGAGCGAUCUCGCGCCAAAGAUGAUCGGGGCUUAAGUCUAUCCGUCACAAUACGUGGCGGGCCCGCCAAAGUUUUUUGGCGGGUUACCGAAGCUGUGGUUCGCCAAAUUUUUUUUGGCGGAGGUAGGGGAGCGUGGUUUGACAAGUGAAGAUGUACCGUAAGGAGCAUUGGAUGUCAAACCAGUGAUUAUGUCGGAAUGAGUAGCGAAAACCAGGGCGAGAAACCCUGGCACCGAAAGUCCAAGGUUUCCUGGGGAAGGUUAAUCCGCCCAGGGUUAGUCGAGCCUAAGCCGAGGCCGGAUGGCGUAGGUGAUGGAUAAUCCGUUAAUAUUCGGAUACCAGCUAGUCGGCGUUAAAACUUUUUGUAUGACGCGUGGUGUGUUUAAGGCUGCUGAGUGUUGGAAGUCUCAGUUCUUUUCGUCGCAAGGCGAAGAGGGGACCCUGAGCGCAAGCGAGGGGGAAGUGUCUUAAAACAUGCUGCCAAGAAAAGUACAAAAGGGAGUCGUCUAGUUGUUCGUACCGUAAUCCGACACAGGUAGACCUCCAGAGAAUGGUAAGGUGCUCGAGAUAACUCUCGUUAAGGAACUCGGCAAAAUAGCCUCGUAAGUUCGCAACAAGAGGUCCCGUCAUGAAUAAUGGCGGGCUCAGUAAAGUGGCCCGGGUGACUGUUUAGCAAAAACACAGCACUCUGCAAACUCGAAAGAGGAAGUAUAGGGUGUGACACCUGCCCGGUGCUGGAAGGUUAAGGGGAUGAGUUAACGAGUCGCAAGAUUUGUGAAGCUCUGAACCGAAGCCCCAGUAAACGGCGGCCGUAACUAUAACGGUCCUAAGGUGAAAUUUGUCGCCUUAGUAAAACCUGGCUAUAUGCUGGAAAGUCUGAGUAUCUCGUAUUACUACUUGAUUAUUUAUUUGCUCAAUAAUAUAAUAAAUAUUCAAGAGUAAAAAUAUAUGAGUGCAGAUAACCAGCAGGAAAGACUAAGAUUUGCGGGGUGGAAAGAAACCCGCCAGAAUCUUGGUAUCCCCAGAGACUGUACGCCAAGGUCCUAAUAAAUUAGGAUAAGAUACAGUCCGUACUCCAUAGCGAUAUGGAGAGACUAGUAGAAAUAACUAGUCCACCUACUAAAAUAGGUCAUAAAGUAACAGAAUAGAGCGAAAUUCCUUGUGGGGUAAGUUCCCACGCGCACGAAUGGUGUAACAACUUGGGCGCUGUCUCAACGAGAGACUCGGCGAAAUUGUAGUGGCGGUGAAGAUGCCGUCUACCCGCAUCAAGACGAAAAGACCCCAGAACCUUUACUGCAACCUGCUAUUGAAAUUUGGUUCAAUAUGUGUAGCAUAGGUGGGAGGCUUUGAAGCCCUGGCGCUAGCUAGGGCAGAGCCGCAAUGUGAAAUACCACCCUUAUUGCACUAAGUUUCUAACCACUUGCCGUGAAUCCGGCGGAGGGACAGUGACAGGCGGGCAGUUUGACUGGGGCGGUUCCUUUCUAAAAGAUAACGAAAGGGCCCAAAGGUUGGCUCAGGGCGUUCGGCAAUCGCCCGUGGAGUGUAAGCGCAUAAGCCAGCUUGACUGCGAGUCCGGCAGGACGAGCAGAUACGAAAGUAGGGGCUAGUGAUCCGGUGGUUGAACGUGGAAUCGCCAUCGCUCAACGGAUAAUAGGUACUCUGGGGAUAA
rnacentral:rRNA from 1 species